rnacentral:rRNA from 1 species
GACGAACGCUGGCGGCGUGCUUAACACAUGCAAGUCGAACGAAGUGGCGAACGGGUGAGUAAUACGGCGGUAACCUGCCCUCCUUUUUGGGAUAAGCCUUGGAAACGGGGUCUAAUACCGAAUAAAGGGGGAUGGGCUCUGGGCCUAUCAGCUUGUUGGUGGGGUGAUGGCCUACCAAGGCGGUGACGGGUAGCCGGCCUGAGAGGGUGAACGUCUACAUUGGGACUCUGAUACGGCGCAGCAUCCUACUGGAGGAGGCAGUGGGGGAGAUUGCACAAUGGGCAAAAGCCGGAUGCAGCGGCGCGGCGAGGGGGAUGGCGGCUUUCGGGUUGUAAACCUCUUUCGCUAUCGGACGGGUACGUGGAGAAGAAGCGCCGGCUAACUACGUGCCAGCAGCCGCGGUAAUUC